CUCACCUCCUUGUUGUCCUGCGGUACCUUUGUGGUACUAUGUCUCACCAACCCUUUUAUUGUCUUUCUCACUUUUUUACUCAACUUUGACUAGAUAUACAAGAAAAUAGGCUCUAAUAUUUAUAGUACAUAAUUAGUAUUAUUAGAUAGAUAAUUGAAUCUAUUUUUAUAAUAAACUUAUUUAGAGAUACAAAUAUUGCUAAUAAUUAUAUAAACUUAGUCAAACUCAACCAUCAUGAAUACACCGUGGUGACACUUAAAAGGGAGAGAGGACUAGUCCAAAACAAUCACUUGUUUUAAAGGAGUAUGGAAUGAAACCCUGUGAAAUUUAUUGACAAGUGAUAUAAUGUAAAACAAAAAGAGUAGCAUGUCACAUUGUAUGUAUAUAUUCACUUCGGUUAAAAAAAUAAUAUGUUCUGUUGGCUUUGUUACAACCUGGCGAUUUGAUCCACUUGAUAUGAUUCACAAGGGAACGUCCACACGGUCUGAAUAUAUUUGAUCUUGUGGCUGAAAUCUAUAAGCCUCAACAUUUUUGUACAAACACUACAAGUCCUUUUUUAGCUUUAAAGAAAAAAGUAAUGUCGAGAGUGGCUUUUGAGCAAUACAAGAACAAGAGUGAAGAAGGAAAAAAUAAUGUGAAGAGUGGAUUUGAACAAUACAAGAAGGAAUACGAAGAAUAAGAGUAAAAAAAUAGAAAAAUAAAAUAACAACAUCUGAAAACAGGAAAAAGAAAAAAAGAAAAAAACAAUAGGUGAAACACAGGAAAAAUGAAAAAAAAAAGUGUACGGAGGACAAGAGUAAGAAAAGGAAAAAUAAAAACAAUAGCUGAAAACAGGAAAAAGAAAAAGGGGGGAAACAAUAGGUGAAAACAAAAAAAAAAUGAAAAAAAGGCGGAAACAGAAAAAUAAUAAUGUUGAGAGUGGGAAAAAUAAAAUAACAAUAUCUGAAAACAGGAAAAAGAAAAAAGAAAAAAACAAUAGGUGAAACACAGGAAAAAUGAAAAAAAAACAGUGUACGGAGGACAAGAAUAAGAAAAGGAAAAAUAAAAACAAUAGCUGAAAACAGGAAAAAGAAAAAGGGGGGGGGGGGGAACAAUAGGUGAAAACAAAAAAAUGAAAAAAGGCGGAAACAGAGUGUACGGAGGACAAGAGUAAGAAAAGGAAAAAUAAAAACAAUAGCUGAAAACAGGAAAAAGAAAAAGGGGGGAAACAAUAGGUGAAAACAAAAAAUGAAAAAAAAGGCGGAAACAGAAAAAUAAUAAUGUUGAGAGUGGGAAAAAUAAAAUAACAAUAUCUGAAAAUAGGAAAAAGAAAAAAACAAUAGGUGAAACACAGGAAAAAUGAAAAAAAAAACAGUGUACGGAGGACAAGAGUAAGAAAGGGAAAAUAAAAACAAUAGCUGAAAACAGGAAAAAGAAAAAGGGGGGGAAACAAUAGGUGAAAACAAAAAAAUGAAAAAAAAGGCGGAAACAGAAAAACA
rnacentral:lncRNA from 1 species